rnacentral:rRNA from 1 species
GGGUCAGUAGGUUGGUCGUGCCACCGGUACGUACUGGUCUCACUGAUUCCUCCUUCCUGUAGAACCGUAAUGCCAUUAAUUUGGUGUUGCGGGGAAACAGGACUGUUACUUUGAGAAAAUUAGAGUGUUUAAAGCAAGCUAACGCUUGAAUACAUUAGCAUGGAAUAAUGAAAUAGGACGAUCGAUCCUAUUUUGUUGGUUUCUAGGAUUGACGUA